CCUACGGGUGGCAGCAGUAGGGAAUCUUUCACAAUGGGCGAAAGCCUGAUGGAGCAACGCCGCGUGCAGGAUGAAGGCCCUCGGGUUGUAAACUGCUUUUAUAAGCGAGACAUAUGAUGGUAACUUAUGAAUAAGGAUCGGCUAACUACGUGCCAGCAGCCGCGGUCAUACGUAGGAUCCGAGCAUUAUCCGGAGUGUCUGGGUGUAAAGAGUUGCGUAGGUGGGAUAAUAAGUAGCUAGGGAAAUCUGGUGGCUCAACCAUUCAGACUAUUAGCGAAACUGUGAAGCUCGAGAGCGUUAGGGGUAACUGGAAUUUGUAGUGUAGGAGUGAAAUGCGUAGAUAUUAGGAAGAACACCGAUAGCGUAGGCAGGUUACUGGCGCGGAUCUGACGCUAAGGCACGAAAGCGUGGGGAGCGAACGGGAUUAGAUACCCCAGUAGUC
rnacentral:rRNA from 1 species